UACAGGGGGUGCAAACGUUGCUCGGAAUCAUUGGGCGUAAAGCGCGCGUAGGCGGUUACUUAAGUCGGAUGUGAAAGCCCUCGGCUUAACUGAGGAAGUGCACCCGAAACUGAGUAGCUGGAGUACGAAAGAGGGUCGCGGAAUUCCCGGUGUAGAGGUGAAAUUCGUAGAUAUCGGGAGGAACACCGGUGGCGAAGGCGGCGACCUGGGUCGAGACUGACGCUGAGGCGCGAAAGCGUGGGGAGCAAACAGG
rnacentral:rRNA from 1 species